GUCUGAAAGACAAAUCCAUUAAAACAAGGAUUGAAAC
rfam:Nitrososphaera viennensis EN76, complete genome.